UACGUAGGUGGCAAGCGUUGUCCGGAUUUACUGGGCGUAAAGAGCGCGCAGGCGGUCGAUCAAGUCGCGUGUGAAAGCCCCCGGCUCAACUGGGGAGGGUCACGCGAUACUGCUCGACUCGAAGGCAGGAGAGGGAAGUGGAAUUCCCGGUGUAGUGGUGAAAUGCGUAGAUAUCGGGAGGAACACCAAUGGCGAAGGCAGCUUGCUGGGCCACACCUGACGUUAAGGUACGAAAGCGUGGGGAGCGAACAGG
rnacentral:rRNA from 1 species